GCGUGUGCUGCGGUUGAGUUGGCUCAGUGGGGCAGGUUUUCAACCUGCCACGGGCCUGACGACUGGCGCGGGCAGGUUGGAAACCUGCCCCACGCU
rnacentral:tRNA from 1 species